rnacentral:lncRNA from 1 species
CUUAAACACAUAUGGCUUUAUUUAUUUUUUUAAGUUAACAGGAACUGUGGCAUGGGUUCAGCUGCUCAAUGAUGCCAUCAAGAAAUUGGGCUCUUUCUGACUUUCUUCCUUCACAUGUUGUCUUCUUCCUCGUGCUCAUCCCCACAUGGUCACAAGAUGGCUGUCACAGCUCCAGACGGCUUGACUAUAUUCAAAGCAGAAAGAAAGAAGGGGACAACAUCAGCUAUUUGUGCCUCUGCUCAGAAAAGCAAAUACUUUUUCAGAAGGCCCGCAGCAAACAUCUCACUGGCCAAAGCCAGGUCACGUAGUCAUCCUUAGCUGCAAGGGAGGCUAAGAAAGUAUCUGGUUCUUCAGCCUCUGAGUGGGAGGUGGCAAGGAACAAGGGAUUUGGAAGUAGUUGCCUCUAGGGAGCAGGACUUGCAGUGGGAAGGAGUAGGACAGGAUAUUGUUGGAUUUUAUUAGGCAUCUCUUAGCACUGUUUUAUUUUUUUAAGUAUGUAUAUAUAUUCCUUUGAUAAAAAAUAAAAAUUAGGCCAUGUGUGGUCGCUCACACCUCCUAGAAAAGAGAUUUAUUAUGAAGUUAUCAGGUAGCUCACGGAAGUCUAGAGAAUCAGGCUGAGAACAUGGAGUGGGAGCGAGGAAGGCAGGCAUCAGGAACCACAGCUAAGGGUCCACCAUAAAAACAGCCUGGUUAGAAUGCUGCUGUUGGCACUGCUCCCUGCACUGCUCCUACCAGUGGACCUUAUCCUACUGGCACAUGCCACUGCAAGGGAGCUCCAACCAUCCUCACAUCUGUUGUUUUGGUUUAUUUGUUGUGGACUUCAGAGUUUAGUUAAUCAUAAUCUGCAAUUUAUGGCACAUUAUGACCAGUUCACUGAAGGCUGCUCUUUUACUUUAGUUCUUCUUUUACUUUAUCUUCUUCUUCUUCCCCAUCAGUCCCUAUCCUUACUCCCAUUCUCCUGCCUAACUCAGUGAGCCUCUCCAGUGUAAUUAACGUAUGUAUACUUUCAAUCCGUCUUCCAUAUGUUUAUUUAUAUGCAUAUCCAUGAAAAUACAUAGUGUUGUUUUACAUUUCUGUAAAUGGAAUUGUACUAUAAAUACUAUUCUGUUUCUUACUUUUUUCUCUCAAUGCUGGGGAUUUUAGAGACCUAUCCAUGUGGCUAUAUGUAAAUCUAGUUUAUUACUUUUGUUUUGUAGUUUUCCAUCGUAUGAAUAUACAGUUUGUUUAUCCUGUCCUAUAGUGAUGAACACCUGAUUGCUUCUGAUUCCUCACUACCACAAACAGUGCUGCAAUGAACAACCUCAACUAUAUUUUCUUAGGACCUGUAUGAGAAUUUCUCUGGAAUAUAUGCCCAGAAGCGGGAUUACUGGGUUGUAGGGUAUUCACAUACUUAAUUUCAUGGGUGCUGCCAAACUCUCUCUGGAAUACCUGUACCAGUUUACAUUCCAACUCAUGGUUGUCCUUUUCCUCACAUCCUGAUUCAUCAGCACUUGAUAAUAUCUGACUUUCUACAUGUUACCAUUCCUGUAGUGACUUCUCAUUAUUAUUUUAAUUUCAUUUCUCUAAUUAUUGGCAGAGUUGAAAAAGCUCUUAAUAUAUUCAAGUUUCCCCUUGUGUAAACUCAAGUUUCCCCUUCUAUAAAUUACUCUUCAUAUCCUAUGCCCAUUUUCCUAUUGGGUUUACUAUCUUCCUUAUAUAUUCUCCUAAUCUAUCAUCCUUUUGUUAAUUUUGUAUAUUCCUGCCUUCUUUUUGUUGCUGGUUCCAGAUUCAAGGCCAUGAACAGAGUAUUCAGCCCUUGUUGCCUGGCGGGCUGGGAAAGAAAAUAUCUGACCACCAUCAGUUUCCAUAGUGGGAAAUAGGGCCAUGCCUCCCAAUUUGGCAGGGAUUCCCCCAAAAAACAGCAUGGGAAAUUAGAUGCUAGAGAACAGUAGAGUUCGCUCCUUUGGUCAUCCAACAUCCACAUAUAGCCUUCCUCCCGUAUUUAUGCUUUUAAAAAAAGCUUCCACCUAAUACGGUGCAAAUAUACCUCAUAUAACCAAACAUGCACCCAUCCCCUUUCCAGAGUGAGAAAACCAAAAACAUAAAUUAGAAUGCUUUCAGGGACAAGCAAUACAAAAUCCAACUCAAACUGUCUUGAAUAGUAAAUGCAAUUCAUUGGCUCACUUAACUGAAGAGUCCACAGGCAGGGAGAUUUCAGGCAUGGCAUGAUCCGGAAUAUGGUUCCAUUUCUGUGAUUCUCUUGGCUCUGCCUCCUCCAUUUUUCAGCUCCAUCCUCAGGUAGGCCUUCCACAUGUUCACAAGAUGGCUAACAGCAGCAACCAGGCUACAUGCUUCUUUGUUCUUAUCCAAGGGAAGAUAGGUCAUCUCCUCCCUCAAAAGCUGAAUAAAAGUCCUAAGCCUCAUUGUGAUUGGGUCAUCCCUGAACCAGUCAUCACUGUGGCUAGGAGGGUGAAAUUACUCAGAUCAGUUUAUACCAAUAAAGGCCUACACCUAGAGCUGGUGGUGGGGUCAAUCCCACUCACAUUGCAUAGUUGUUAUACAGCGGGAGAGGAGUGGAAUGGAUGCUGCAGAACAACUACAAUGUCCACUACAAGGGAGUAAACUAAGAAAGAGGAAGAUAUGGGGUCCAAGAAAGAUUGGGUCCAACCCAGAAUAAUGAAGGGACGUCCCAGGAUGACAGCUGCACCGCAGGCCUACAGAGCAAUCCGUCCAAAUUGGAACAGGAAGACGGAGGACUCCAGGAAGAAGGUAUCUGGGGAAAAAGGGGAUUCAAAUGAUUUUAUACUUUCCUUGAGACUUUGGAAUAACUUAAGAAGGUGAUAAAGUCAGACAAUGCAAGGAAAAAAAGAAAGACAAUUAGAAACUCUAAGGAAAAAAAGGUGUAUAAGAAAAGCAAUGUAAUCCUAAUAUACUAAUUGGAUCUUUCUGGAACAAUAUUUACAUAAUCAUAAUAAUGUAAACACUUUAUUGCCCUUAAACUUUUAGAAUGACCUACUGGCAAAGUAUGGAUGACUUAAUUAUGGUUAUAGAACAAAGUGUAAAUAUUAACCUUGUUAAUAUAAAAGUGCAGUUGACAAGUUAAAAGAGAGAAAAGGGAGAGUAAGUCUAUUAGUUAAAGGUAGAAAGAUAAGGAAUAGAGGAUAUAUAAUUAGUGACAUGGCUAUAUUGGAGGCAUGGGAAAGGCAUUCGGGUGGUAUAAAUAGCAGGAAGUUAAUAGAGAAUGACUAAAAUUGAUCAAUAAAAGUUGAUAAAUAGAAAAAUCUGUAUAUUGGCUGAGCGUGGUAGCUCACGCCUGUAAUCCCAGCACUUUGGGAGGGCAAGGCGGGCAGAUCACCAGAGGUCAGGAGUUCAAGACCAGCCUGGCCAACAUGGCAAAACCCCACCUCUACUAAAAAUACAAAAAUUAGCUGGGCGUGGUGGCGCAUGCCUGUAAUCCCAGCUACUCGGGAGGCUGAGGCAGGAGAAUCGCUUGAACCCAGGAGGCAGAAGUUGUAGUGAGCCAAGAUCGCACCACUGCACUCCAGCCUGGGCGACAGAGCAAGACUCCGUUUCAAAAAAAAAAAAAAAGAAAGAAAAAGAAAAAUCUGUAUAUUAUUUAGAGAUAUGAAGAUAAUUACUGGAAAAAAAAAAACCCAAACAGUUAAAAGUAGACUAGUAGAUUUCCAGGUCAAGAUGAUAAACUUACCAUGUGUUUUUCUCCACUUCCUCCUGAGACCCUGCUAAAAUCAUUGUAAAGGGAUUAAAAAGGGUAUAAAUCCACAAUGAUGAAGAGAGUGGGAACAGGUCCAUCAGCAAAAGAGAGAUUUCAACAAAUUUCUGGAAGAUAGAAGUCAAUGGAGGAAUGGUGACUGAUGGAGCAUGGUGGAGGAAGCCACAGCCUGGAGUAUGCAUGGAGGUGAUGCUUCAGAGGAAGAAGUUGCUCUUUCUCUGCAGAAGCCUGGAGUGUCUUGGUCUUGACAAUGCCAGGUAUGAUAAAGGAUGGGAGUCAAAUGUGGGGCUGAAAAUUGGGAGUUUAAUGGGAAGGCUGCAUAUCAAACCAUGAAUCCCCCUCCCCCUCCCUUGUGCACAAUUCACAGCAGCCAGGUGUCUACCCAUUAGGCAAAAACCAGAGGGUUCUUCGCUAAGGCUAUUGAACAACCUCAAAGAAAAGACGUUAGCAUUCUGGCAUUCAGGGACUCUGCAGCAUAGCAAGUUAGCUCUCUAGUCAUCCUAAAGGAAGGCCACCAGUUGCCUAGCCCUGCCCCCAUAUACAGAGCUUCUGAUCAGAUUUUUAUUGCUACAUUCUUAAAUAUCAGCAAACAACUAUGGAUCACUAAGCAUUUGAGAAAAGACUGCAACUUGAAAGAGACCAAAAUAAGUAAACAAGGGAAAAAAUAAUCCAAAUGAAAUAGAUAUUUCAAAGAACAGAAAGAAAUAUAAAAAUAUCUCUAUUAUUUUCAGAUUCAAGGUGAUAGUACAUCCAUAAAACAAGAACAGAAUGCAAUAAGAAAGGAAAAGAGAACAAGAGUGAAUACUAAGAAAUUUAAAAUCUGAUUGCCACAUGAAAAGACAUGCAAUAGAAGGGUUGAAAGAUAAAGUUAAGUCUUCUCUCAGAAAGUAAACAAAAACAAAAGGAAGAGAGGGACAAAGCUAGGGAGGGAGGGAGGGAAAGAGGAAGGGAGCGAGAGAUGGAAAAUAGGAGAGUGGAUAAAAAAUUACAAAAGAUAAAUUCAGGAGAUCUAACAUCUAACAUUAAGGAUUUCCAGAAAGAGAGAAUAAAGGAAAUGGAAUAAAGGAAUAGAUCAAAGACAUAAUAUGUGAGAAUUUCCCAGAGUUAAAAGACUUCAAAAUGAAGGGAUGUAACAAAUGACCAGCACAAUGAAUGACAAAAGAUCUGAAACCUAAACACAUAAUUUUUAAGUUUCAGAAUACCAAGAAUACAAUUCUUAAAAAAUAACAGGAGGCCAGGCACAGUGGCUCAAGCCUGUAAUCCCAGCACUUUGGGGGGCUGAGGCGGGCAGAUCACCUCAGUUCAGGAGUUCGAGACCAGCCU